CACGCAGUAAACGAUGAAUACUAACUGUUUGCGAUAUACAGUAAGCGGUACAGCGAAAGCGUUAAGUAUUCCACCUGGGGAGUACGUUCGCAAGAAUGAAACUCAAAGGAAUUGACGGGG
rnacentral:rRNA from 1 species